rnacentral:rRNA from 1 species
AACGAACGCUGGCGGCAGGCCUAACACAUGCAAGUCGAGCGCUGUAGCAAUACAGAGCGGCGCACGGGUGAGUAACACGUGGGAACGUGCCCUUCGGUUCGGAAUAACUCAGGGAAACUUGAGCUAAUACCGGAUACGUCCUUUGGGAGAAAGAUUUAUCGCCGAGGGAGCGGCCCGCGUAGGAUUAGCUAGUUGGUGAGGUAAUGGCUCACCAAGGCUCCGAUCCUUAGCUGGUUUGAGAGAACGACCAGCCACACUGGGACUGAGACACGGCCCAGACUCCUACGGGAGGCAGCAGUGGGGAAUCUUGGACAAGUGGGGGAAACCCUGAUCCGGCCAUGCCGCGUGAGUGAUGAAGGCCUUAGGGUUGUAAAACUCUUUCGGCGGGACGAUAAUGACGGUACCCGCAGAAGAAGCUCCGGCUAACUUCGUGCCAGCAGCCGCCGCCGUAA